UUUUUUAUAUAGAUCACUUCUCAUGAAGACAGUACUGCAUGAAGAAUAAUGAGCUAUCGUCCAUUUUGUUAUGGUAUGAUCAUAUUGUUUUUUUUAUGUAUUUUGAAUUUUGGCCUCUAUAUUUAURUAUGAUAUUGUUUCAAUCUAGAAAAAUUUUAGUGGAUGUUCAGCCCCCCCUAAACUUGUUGUCUGCGUCCGCCACUGGCGGUAAGAUCUUCUCCCUCUACUCAAAUUGCAUCUUUUUUUAGUGAAUCCCUAUCUAGCGACAUGAGUGAUUUGGCGCAGCAGCUCCAGGGGCAGCAGCGCAGGUCAGUCAAGACAAAGAGACAUGGGGGGCACAAUGCCCUUGACCUAUUCUUAAACUUUAGAUAGGUAGGAUGGCACGGCUGGUCGGUGAGCUAUGCCAUGUAGUCAGGAGCUCCAAGUGGGCCAUUUUUUAUAAGUAGAACUGGCGAUGCGGGAUGAACCGGAAGCCGAGUUUUGGUGCUGAACUACGCGCUAACCUAGAACCCACAAAGGGUGUUGGUCAAUUAAGACAAUAGGAUGGUGGUCAUGGAAGUCAAAAUCUGCUAAGGAGUGUGUAACUCCUCACCUACCAAAUCAACUAGCCCUGAAAAACCCGGGGCGCGAGCCCGGGCGGAGCGGCUAUUGGUGCAGAUCUUGGUGGUAUAGCAAAUAUUCAAACGAGAACUUUGAAGGCUGAAGAGGACAAGUUCCAUGUGAACGACACUUGCACAUGGGUAAGCCGAUCCUAAGGGAUGGGGUAACCCUGGUAGACAGCGCGAUCACGUGCAUUGCUCGAAAGGGAAUCGGGUUAAGAUUUCCUAAGCCAGGACUUGGCGAUUGACGACGACGUUAGGAAGUCAGGAGACGCCGGUGGAGGCCUCAAGAAGACUUAUCUUUUUUGCUUAACGGCCUGCCAACCUUGGAAAUGGUUCAACCGGAGGUAUGGUCCAGCGGUCGGAGAGCAUCGCACGUCGUGCGGUGUCUGGUGUGCUCCGACGGCCCAUGAAAAUCUGUAGGACCGAGUAUCGUCCACGUCCGGUCGUACUCAUAAUCACAUCAGGUCACCAAGGUGAACAACCUCUGGCCAAUGGAACAAUGUAGGCAAGGGAAGUCUGCAAAAUGGAUCUGUAACUUCGGCAAAAGGAUUGCUCUGAGGAUUGGGCUCGAGGUCCUGACGUGCCAGCAUGCAUAGGACUCCCCACAGGCCAGAUCGCCCAGCAUAUGGGCCAAACUGGGCUGGACACUACAAAGGACCUGAUACAGUACAAGUCGGCGUAUUAGGCGCAAUUCUAGGAGAUAAAGUAGUCGGAUCUUAUCUAGGCAGUUCUAUUGUACUCUGUUGUGAUCCUCCUGCAUGUAACCUCCUGGAAUAUCUCUAUUCUGGCUUGUAACCCUGCCUCCCAGUCUAUAUAAUAUAAGGCAGGGAUCCCUCCAAAACAACUCAAU
rnacentral:ncRNA from 1 species